rnacentral:hammerhead_ribozyme from 1 species
ACCCGUCUGACAAGUCCGAAUUAGGACGAAACGCGUGUCCUGGAU